rnacentral:rRNA from 1 species
GCGGAAUGCUUUACACAUGCAAGUCGAACGGUAGAGGGGGCAACCCCUCGAGAGUGGCGAACGGGUGAGUAAUGUAUCGGAACGUGCCCAGUCGUGGGGGAUAACGUAGCGAAAGUUACGCUAAUACCGCAUACGAUCUACGGAUGAAAGCGGGGGAUCGCAAGACCUCGCGCGAUUGGAGCGGCCGAUAUCAGAUUAGGUAGUUGGUGGGGUAAAGGCUCACCAAGCCAACGAUCUGUAGCUGGUCUGAGAGGACGACCAGCCACACUGGAACUGAGACACGGUCCAGACUNNUACGGGAGGCAGCAGUGGGGAAUUUUGGACAAUGGACGCAAGUCUGAUCCAGCCAUUCCGCGUGCAGGAUGAAGGCCCUCGGGUUGUAAACUGCUUUUGUACGGAACGAAAAGGUUUCUAUUAAUACUAGGAGCUCAUGACGGUACCGUAAGAAUAAGCACCGGCUAACUACGUGCCAGCAGCCGCGGUAAUACGUAGGGUGCAAGCGUUAAUCGGAAUUACUGGGCGUAAAGCGUGCGCAGGCGGUUUAUAUAAGACAGAUGUGAAAUCCCCGGGCUCAACCUGGGAACUGCAUUUUGUGACUGU